rnacentral:rRNA from 1 species
GGGUGGUAAUGCCGGAUGCUCCAUCACACCGCAUGGUGUGUUGGGAAAGCCUUUGCGGCAUGGGAUGGGGUCGCGUCCUAUCAGCUUGAUGGCGGGGUAACGGCCCACCAUGGCUUCGACGGGUAGCCGGCCUGAGAGGGCGACCGGCCACAUUGGGACUGAGAUACGGCCCAGACUCCUACGGGAGGCAGCAGUGGGGAAUAUUGCACAAUGGGCGCAAGCCUGAUGCAGCGACGCCGCGUGAGGGAUGGAGGCCUUCGGGUUGUAAACCUCUUUUGUUAGGGAGCAAGGCAUUUUGUGUUGAGUGUACCUUUCGAAUAAGCACCGGCUAACUACGUGCCAGCAGCCGCGGUAAUACGUAGGGUGCAAGCGUUAUCCGGAAUUAUUGGGCGUAAAGGGCUCGUAGGCGGUUCGUCGCGUCCGGUGUGAAAGUCCAUCGCUUAACGGUGGAUCCGCGCCGGGUACGGGCGGGCUUGAGUGCGGUAGGGGAGACUGGAAUUCCCGGUGUAACGGUGGAAUGUGUAGAUAUCGGAAAAGAACACCA